rnacentral:rRNA from 1 species
UACAGAGGUGCCAAGCGUUAGGCGGAAUCACUGGGCUUAAAGCGCGUGUAGGUGGGUCGUUAAGUGUCCGCGUGAAAUCCCACGGCUCAACCGUGGAACUGCUUGGUAUACUGCUUAUCUUGGGCCACUUAGGGGUUACCGGAACAAACGGUGGAGCGGUGAAAUGCGUAGAUAUCGUUUGGAACGCCAAUGGUGAAAACAGGUAACUGGGAGUGUGCCGACGCUGAGACACGAAAGCCAGGGGAGCGAACGGG